UGAUUUCUCUUGUAGGCGCUGUCCAGGUAAGACGUGUGUCCGCCAAGAAGUGUGUCUGCCCACAGUAUUGGCCACGAGUUUAACUUGUAAGCAGUGUAUACAACAGUUAAGAAGUUCGGGUUAUGCCGGCCACCCCUUAAACAUAGGCAAACAAGUCCCUGGUACCAGUCAGGAGAGGUGAAGCACGUCCCGCCUCAAGUCUGGCACCGGCGUCCCUAAAUCGGCGCACUAUCAACUUGGAAGAGCCACUUAAGUUUCAGCCAAGCUAACUCCUCGGCCAUAGCAGUCCACCUCAUCUGUAUCCAUGUGAUAAUAAUCCAUCUCCAGGUCUUCAGAAGAGGGUGCAAACCGCGGAGGCGUGCGAUUCGGUACAGGUCCUGCCACUACUGAAGGGAGAACCAAACCAGCGUAUCAUAACCCCUAACCUGAGGCAGGAAACUGCCUCGCACCAGCUCUGCUUUAACACGUGGUGCCAUCUAGGGAGGGAGGACACACUACCUUGCCCCACCUUCCACGUGGAAUUGGACCAUGCCUCGCACCACCUCUGCCUCAACACGUAACGCUAUCCUGGGAGGAAGGGGACACUGCCUCGUUCCACCUUUCACGGAGGAAUUUCACCCGCCUCGCACCAGCUCUAUUGACACGUGGGGCUCCAUCUAGGGAGGGAGGGAGGGAGGGGAGGACAUCCUGUCUCGCAUCAGCGCUGCCCUGCCGUGUGGUGCCAUCCAGGGAGGGAGGACUCGCUGCCUCGCUGCACCUUCCACGGAUGUAUUGGACCGUGCCUCGCUUCAUCUAACCUAACUAAUACAUGUUGGCUAUAACUCGUGGUGUUUAUUCCUUCCAUCUAAUGUUAGUGUUUAUUCCUUCCAUCUAGUGUUAGUGUUUAUUCCUUCCAUCUAAUGUUAGUGUUUAUUCCUUCCAUCUAAUGUUAGUGUUUAUUCCUUCCAUCUAAUGUUAGUGUUUAUUCCUUCCAUCUAAUGUUUGUUUGUGUUUAUU